rnacentral:rRNA from 1 species
UUAUGGCUCAGGACGAACGCUGGCGGCGUGCUUAACACAUGCAAGUCGAACGGGAGUAUCAAAGAAGCUUGCUUUAAGAUACUUUAGUGGCGGACGGGUGAGUAACGCGUGAGGAGCUGUCCUAUGCAGGGGGACAACAGUUGGAAACGGCUGCUAAUACCCCAUAAGCCGAGAGGUAAAAAGGAUUAAUCCGGCAAAGGAGGCACUCGCGUCCUAUCAGCUAGUAGGUUGGGUAACGGCCGACCUAGGCGAAGACGGGUAGCCGGCCUGAGAGGGCGAACGGCCACACUGGAACUGAGAUACGGUCCAGACUCCUACGGGAGGCAGCAGUGGGGAAUAUUGGGCAAUGGGGGGAACCCUGAACCCCCAGCGACGCCGCGUGGGUGAAGAAAUCCUUCGGGAUGUAAAGCCCUGUUGUAUGGGAAGAGUAGAAGACGGUACCAUACGAGGAAGCCCCGGCAAACUACGUGCCAGCAGCUGC